GUACUCGCUUCGGCGGUACAUAUACUAAAAUUGGAACGAUACAGAGAAGAUUAGCAUGGCCCCUGCUCAAGGAUGACACGCAAAAUCGUGAAGCGUUCCACAUUUUU
rnacentral:snRNA from 1 species